rnacentral:rRNA from 1 species
UACGGGGGGGGGCAAGCGUUGUUCGGAAUUACUGGGCGUAAAGGGCUCGUAGGCGGCCAACUAAGUCGGACGUGAAAUCCCUCGGCUUAACCGGGGAACUGCAUCUGAUACUGGAUGGCUUGAGUUCGGGAGAGGGAUGCGGAAUUCCAGGUGUAGCGGUGAAAUGCGUAGAUAUCUGGAGGGACACCGGUGGCGAAGGCGGCAUCCUGGACCGACACUGACGCUGAGGAGCGAAAGCCAGGGGAGCAAACGGG